CCAGACUCCUACGGGAGGCAGCAGUGGGGAAUAUUGCACAAUGGGCGAAAGCCUGAUGCAGCAACGCCGCGUGAAGGAAGACGGUUUUCGGAUUGUAAACUUCUGUUCUUAGUGAAGAAUAAUGACGGUAACUAAGGAGCAAGCCACGGCUAACUACGUGCCAGCAGCCGCGGUAAUACGUAGGUGGCAAGCGUUGUCCGGAAUUACUGGGUGUAAAGGGAGCGUAGGCGGGAAGCCAAGUCAGCUGUGAAAGUCCGCGGCUCAACCGUGGAAUUGCAGUUGAAACUGGAGGCCUUGAGUGCACACAGGGAUGCCGGAAUUCAUGGUGUAGCGGUGAAAUGCUUAGAUAUCAUGAAGAACUCCGAUCGCGAAGGCAAGUGUCCGGGGUGCAACUGACGCUGAGGCUCGAAAGUGCGGGUAUCAAACAGGAUUAGAUACCCUGGUACC
rnacentral:rRNA from 1 species